rnacentral:rRNA from 1 species
UUGAACGCUGGCGGUAUGCUUUACACAUGCAAGUCGAACGGCAGCACGGGGCAACCUGGUGGCGAGUGGCGAACGGGUGAGUAACAUAUCGGAACAUAUCCGGAAGUGGGGGAUAACGUAGCGAAAGUUACGCUAAUACCGCAUAUGCCCUGAGGGGGAAAGUGGGGGAUCGCAAGACCUCACGCUUUCGGAGUGGCCGAUAUCAGAUUAGCUAGUUGGUGGGGUAAAGGCCCACCAAGGCGACGAUCUGUAGCUGGUCUGAGAGGACGACCAGCCACACUGGGACUGAGACACGGCCCAGACUCCUACGGGAGGCAGCAGUGGGGAAUUUUGGACAAUGGGCGCAAGCCUGAUCCAGCAAUGCCGCGUGCAGGAAGAAGGCCUUCGGGUUGUAAACUGCUUUUGUACGGAACGAAAAGGUCUGGGUUAAUACCCUGGGCUCAUGACGGUACCGUAAGAAUAAGCACCGGCUAACUACGU